rfam:Triticum aestivum genome assembly, contig: Triticum_aestivum_CS42_TGACv1_scaffold_513467_6BS
CCAGUACUCCCUCCAUCCCAAAAUUCUUGUCUUAGAUUUGUCUAGAUAGGGAUGUACCUAUAAUACUAAAACAUGACUUGAUACAUCCGUAUUUAGACAAAUCUAAGACAAGAAUUUUGGGACGGAGGGAGUACUAA